rnacentral:ncRNA from 1 species
CGAAGUUCUCAGGGCGGGGUGAAACUCCCCACCGGCGGUGAUGACGAUCCUUCGUCCAAGCCCGCGAGCGCCCGUCAGAUGAUAUUGAUGGGGUCAGCAGAUUCGGUGAGAUUCCGAAGCCGACGGUGAUAGUCCGGAUGAAAGAGAACCGAU